CCGAAAGACUGCCGAGGCCAUCGACAUUCUGAAGCUCAUGUCCUCUACAUUUUUGGUUGCGUUGUGCCAAGCCAUCGACCUGCGCCACCUUGAGGAGAAUGUCAAGAACGCCGUGAAGAAUUGUGUCACAAGAGUGGCUCGGAAGACCUUGAUCACAAAUGACAAGGGUGGCCUCCACAACGCACGGUUUUGUGAGAAGGACCUGCUCCAGACUAUCGACCGCGAGGCGGUGUUCGCGUAUGCGGACGACCCUUGCAGCGCCAACUACCCUCUCAUGAAGAAGAUGCGCGCUGUGUUGGUGGAGCACGCCCUAGCCAACGGCGAGGCUGAGCGCAACGUGGAAACCUCGGUGUUUGCCAAGGUUGCCAAAUUCGAGCAGGAGCUCUGUGCAACACUACCUCAGGAGGUUGAGGCUGCUAGAGGUGCAGUGGAGAAUGGCACCGCUGCAGAACCAAACCGUAUCGUAGACUGCCGGUCAUACCCUCUAUACCGGUUCGUGCGUGAGGAGCUGGGCACAGUGUACUUGACCGGAGAGAAGACUCGGUCACCUGGCGAGGAGGUGGACAAGGUGUUCGUUGCCAUGAACCAGGGUAAGCACAUCGAUGCUCUGCUGGAGUGCCUCGAGGAGUGGAAUGGGGAGCCCCUGCCCAUCUGCUAAUCAAGGAGAUGAAGAGAAGAUGCCUUGGUUCAGAAUUUUAGAAACUGAUAAUACUGUUGUUUGAUUUCAUUUUACUUUUCCUCUUCUAAAGCGUUGAUGCAUGCAACGUUUUCGGGAGCUUCUGCUGCUGUGAGUGACAGGGUAUAAAUUUUUAUGACAAAUGUUCAAGUUGAAAUGAAUCCAAAGAAGUCAGUCUACUGCUUUAUCAAGUACUUCCUCUGUAACGCUCUUAUAUUUCCUUACGAAGGGAGUACACACAUUGCUGUACCAUAUUGCAUUGCAAUUGCAGGUCAUCGAACAAUUAGAUUAUCAUACAUGUUCAGGCACAAGCAAGAUUGUGGGCAACGCUACACGUCCGCCGGUAGAUGUCUAGUAAACAUCCACCACCUCGACAGCCGUCAGAUCUCCGCGCGUGAGCCGUCCGAUCUAACUCCUCGCACGCGCGCGUCGCCUUCCCGACAGAUUAAUUCCUGAAACAACAAACCAGUUGCAGAAACAAUGGCCGCGUUGCAUGAACAAUUCCUAAAACAACGAUCGCGUUGCAGAAACAAUUCCUGCAACAACGUCUGCGUUGCAAAAACAACUACCAUGUUGCAAAAAAUUGGAGAUUGCAUAAAUAAUUCCUGAAACAACGGCCGGGUUGCAGAAACAAUUCCUGCAACAAGACCCCUGUUGCAAAAAGCUGCGGGUGGAGCGACAGGGGGCUGGGGCCGGCGACGAAGAGGGUGUUGAAGGUGGACAGGAAGAGAUGGGGCGGGCGGCGGAGGCGGAGGAUGGAGAGGAGCCGCGGGGAGGGCGGGGACGGGAGGCGGCGGAGCAGGGCGAGCGCGUGGGGAGAAAUCACCGGUGGGAGAUCCGUACCUGCUUGGGUUGUCGGCGGCGGCCGCCGCUCCCGAAGACGAAGUCGUCGUCACGGUGGUAGGUUAGCCCCGGCCCCGCCGCCGCCCAGAUCCAGACCUCGUCGCCUCUCCCAACCCAGCGAGCACAUGCUGCGGCUACAGCUGCAGGGGCGUUUUUCUGAAACAACGGCUCUGUUUCAGGAAAACGAACGCGCGUGCCGUGGGAGCGGGGACGCUCUCUUCCGUCCGAUGAAAGAGACGAUCCAACGGAUACGGAGCCAGCGGAUGCACGCGCGAGAUCGGUCGGGUGAAGGUAAGCUUCUCCCCAAGAUUGCCAGAAGUGAUAGAAAGAACCAGAAAGAAACAACAAUAGACACGAGAGGAUACACACAGGAGUUUAGUAGCAUAUAGGAACCAGUCACAGAAACUAAUCAGAUCAAUGUUUUUUUAUCCUUAUAUGGAACUGAUCAAUCCAUUGGUACUAGCAGUAUGUGCCGACAGAAGAAACAAUGUAGUACACGCCUAGCUGCUUCCAUAAUCACAUAAUCUAGCACAAAAUCUGUUAAAUUUUCUGCAUGAGAGAUCUAUGGGUAGUGGUUGCCCGUGAACAGCAAGGUCACACUGACAUGGAGAACUCCAAACCCUGUUAGUUGAUGCUACUGCGAUCAAUCUGCCUUGUGUCUUCCAGCUCAUUACUUUCUUUAUCAACUUCUUAAAUAUCUGCAGGAAGCCGUGGAGAUAAAUCACAUUUGGUAAUCAUUCCAUACAUCUCCGUAAGGAUUCCUCUUCAGAGGUCUCGGCGGUAGUACUGAAUUAAGGCUUCAGCUGGCCUGGUCUGUUGGAUCGCCAGCGGUGAAGCUCCGCGAAGGUAGCCGACGAGAGCAUGUCAAGCUGCGGAAGCUGCCGACCAACUUGGCGUCUUGGCCGGCAGUCCAUGAGAAACCUCCAUGAGCAUAUGUCAUCUGAGCAACGGAUCCUGUGCCCCCUUUCGUCUGAACAAUGUUUGCCAUGUGGAGCUGUGGCACGAGUCUGUAACGUGGUGUUCCAACUUGUGCGAGGCCAAGACACAGUGUGCGACGACCUGAGACGGAAACGGACUCUAAGCCUACGCCAAGUUGGAUAGCUCCUCGAGGUGACGGUAGUCAUGGUCAAGCAGCCUGAGCUGCUGAUCGAGCCCCCUGGCGACGGUGUUGAUGCACGGAUCAAGGAAGCGGUCGCCAGCAACAAACUCGCAAGCGACGCCAUCGACCUCGACCAUGCUGCAGCCGGGCACUUUGGUCACCUUCUUCUCCUCCAUCACCGACCGGAUCCUUACCACGUCCUCCCACUUGCAGGAGCAGGCGUACAUGUUGGACAGCUGCACGUGCACGCCGCUGUGGUCGAGCCCAAGCUCCGCCAGCCACUCCACAACCUGCUUUCCGAGCUUCACGCCGUCACUACCGUGCACCCGGCACGCAUUGAGCAGCGCACCUAGCACGUACGAGUCGGGCCGCAUCGGCAUUGCCCGUGCCACAGCCGCGGCCUCCGCGAGCAUCCCGGCACGGCCGAGAACGUCCACCAGGCUCCCAUAGUGCUCCACGCCUGGCUCGAUGCCGUGGAUAGCAGACAUGCUUCCGAAGAUCUCCUUAGCGACGGUGACAAGCCCACCACCGGCACGGGCACAUGCGCUGAGGACGCAAAUGAAGGUGACCUCGUUGGGGCGCACCCCCAGGUCCCGCAUCCGGCUGAACAGCUCGACGGCCUCCUGGCAGUGGCCGUGGUCUGAGAGCCCCGAGAUCAUGGCCGUGUAAGCAAACACGUCGCGCUCGGGCUCCGGCAUGGCUGCGAACACCUGCCUUGCCAAGUCUAGGCUCCCGCACUUGGCAUACAUGUCCAACAGCGCAGUAGCCACCCCACCAUCCAUUCUACCGGCGGUAGCGGUGACGAGAGCGUGCACCCACCGGCCCUGCUCCAGCGCCCCGAGCGCACCGCAUGCAGCCAAUGCGCCAACGAUAGCCGCCCUGUUGGGCCGGACUCGAGCCCUGAGCAUCCCGUCGAACACCUCGAGCGCAUCCGCGAAGCCGCCCGCCCCGACAUGGGCGCUGAGCAUGGCGCUCCAGGCGAUGGGCGUCUUGUGCGGCAUUCCAUCGAACAGGGCGCGCGCGUCGUCCAUGUGCCCGGCCCUGGCGUAGGCGGUGAGGAGCGAGGUCCAGGAGCAGACGUCGUCCGUACGGGCGAGGACGGCACUGUCGAAGACGCGGCGCGCGGCGUCGAGGAAGCCGCGGGAGGCGUAGGCGUGUAUGAAGCCGUUGGAGACGUAGGCGUGCGCGUCCCAGCCGAGCGUCACCGCGAGCGCGUGCAACGCGCAGAAGAGCUGCGUGUGGGCCGAAGAGGGGAACGACGGCGAGGGAAUGGGGAUGGCUGUGGCGAUAGAGGCGGUGAGGAGGAAGGAGAAGGUGUAGUUGUUGGGGAGGAAUGAGGGGAGGAUGCGGCGGAGGCGGGGGAAGAGGGCGAGGGCGCGGAGAGGGGCGUCCGGGAGGAGGCCGCGGAGGAGGAUGUUUGGGAGGUAGCGGUCGCCGAGGAGGGCGGAGGUGAGGAGGUGGCCGUGGAGCUGCCGGAGCUGCGCCGCCGUGAGCGACGGGUGGGACAGCAGCCGCAGCGCCAUGGCGGCGACCGAAUGAUACGUGGGCCUUGGGCCCCAAUAGGAGGAUGUGGAAGUAGAUUGCCGGCCGGCCCACGGACCCAGCCAACCGAAGCGUAGAGUGGAAGGCAAACCAAGGGCAGCAGCGACUUCUUCUCCAUAGUGGGUGGGGGAGGGGAGCCAACCGCCAAGCGUCCUGCGAGCGGGAGGUAGACGAAGAAGAAGCAAUGGCUCGCGCGGGGCAAGGAGGCGGGAUGGGGAGCGCGGUGAACGUCGGGAUCGCGGUGCAGGCGGACUGGGAGAACCGCGAGUUCAUCUCCAACAUCUCCCUCAACGUCCGCCGCCUCUUCGACUUCCUCCUCCGAUUCGGUGCGCCCCCCAGAUCCCCAUUUCCCUCCCUGCAUUUCCUUCCUCCUCCCCCACCCGUCUGCUUUCUGCUUGCCUCAGUACGAUUGGAUUGGAUCGGAUCUUAGACCCUACUGCUUCCACCCGUCUCUAGGUGUGAUUUAUUCCAGCAUCGGUGAAUUACAACUCUUGAUACCUACCUACUUGCGCUCAGGAUAAGAUCUCCCUCAUGGAUGAUAUGCCUUGCUGCGUCCGCCUCCAUGACAUCACAGGCCCGUAUUUGCCAUAGCCGACUCCCAUUAUCGACUUCCUCGCGCAUGUUGCCGAUGAGGUUGGUGGGUCAGUCAGCCUUGAAUUGCCCGUUACUGCAACGGUGCUUUGCCCCCUCUAACUAAUAAUCACCAGAAAUGCUAGUUACUGUGACUUUGCUGCUGACCAUGUAGCAGUUCUCUUGCCUAAAAAGAAAAGUACAAUGGAACCAUUGCUAGAAAUAAGGAAUACCAUCAACAAAGUUGUGCUGUAGUAUGUGCUCCAUCCUUUAUCUCUUCUUGGCACACACACGUCGAUAAUGCAUUUUUAGGGAUGUAUUCGCAGCAAACCUGUGAGAUGCCAGACGGUUGUGCUUCCGGUCUCAAGAAAAAUGAAUAAAUUAUGUGAUUUUGCUGUUGACCAAGUAGCAACUCUCUUGCCUCACAAAAUAGACAACGAAACUGCUCUGCAUACGAUUCAUUUUCCUCGUACGCUGGUACGACUAGACUGCAAAUACCAUGGCCCACAAACUGAAUCACCAAGGAUUUGUCUCUAAUCGUACGUGUUGGACGGGGAAUCCAUCGUACGUAUAGAACCAUCGCCUGAAACAGCAAACAACAUCAACAGAGGUAAUGGGAAAUCGAUUUCAACUAGUUCACCCUUAGCCAUGGGUAAUGGGAAAUCGAUUUCAGCUAGUUCUGCACAGUUAUAUCCUGUAACUAGAAUCUGACUUGUUUUGCGCGGUAUGCUAUUAUUGGCCUGGAAUAUUGAUUAGCCUCUCGAACUUGUGGGAAGAAUGGAGUCAGUAGAUUGGAUACCUUUGAACCAUGAUCGCAAAUCAAUAACCAUGCGUGUCUGUUUGUUUAUUGCUUUCUUAUUCACCCUCGGCAUUGUUUUUUGGCGACCAAAGCAGGAGUUAUACCAAUUUCAUUAAGAUAGAAAAAGAAAAUACAGAGUGACUCGGUUUGUAAGGGAAACUGGGCCGAAAACCCCAAUGCCUGACUCUGAGCGAAUACCAGUGAACAAAAGGAAAACCUAGAAAACAGAAAAAAGACACUCGAGCUUGGGGAUGUGGACUACAAGUAUGCAAAAUCAAAAGAAAGGCACAGGCAGAUAAUUCAGGACCUUGCUAAUCUGAUGCGUUCAUUUUGCAGAGGCCACGACGAAGAGCAAGCUGGCGUCGCUGAACGAGAAACUAGACAGCCUAGAGCGGAAGCUGGAGGUGCUGGAGGUCCAAGUGAGCAGCGCCACCACCAACCCCUCCGUUUUCAACAACUAGCUAAGCCUAAUUAUCUAGAAGAAGUGCUAGCACGCGGAGUUGAAGCUGCAGAGCUUACUGACGUUUCAGAGGAGCAUUCUGGCUUUGUGUUGUGUGUUUCCUGUGUGUGUGUGCAGUCAAUCAGUCCAUGUGUAUGUAUGUAUGUACAAGUCAUGUACUACAAUUAAUUGAUUGAGAUGUUAAUUUCAUAUCUUUCUGUAUGUUAUAUUACGCACAGUUACUAAAAGAAGAAAGUCGCCCUCAUUACCAAGGCUUGCUGGUGACGUGUAACAUCCCAAUUUUCAAAACUUGGAUGUUAACAUGCCAUUCAUUUGGAUGUUAAAAUGUCAUUCCUAUACAUCACAUAUAUGCAUCAUUUGGAGUUCAUUGGAAUAAUGUUUUAGGGAUUUAUUUAAAUGCUCAUAUUAACUCCUAUUGCAUAAAGUGAAUUUACAAAAUUGCGUUUUAGUUGGAGUUAUUUUUCCUCUGCUCAAUAUUAACUAUCGGGAGGCAUCUCAUGCGUUGAAGGGGAGGGUUAUUAGGAGUGCCCUUGAGAGGAAGAAGGUGAUGCAAAUAAAAUGUGGACGGAGAUGGUGACUUGCAUUCGUAAGGUGGCUAUCAAGGAGAAGAAAGGUUGUUUGUAAGGUUGCUUCAGAGGAGUUUGGGGGUGACCAAGUGAAGAAGAAGCGAAGCUAAAGAUAUCUAGUGGUGGAACGAUGAUGCCUAGAAGGCGAUCAAAGAGAAGAGUGAUUGUUUCAGACGCCUACAUCUGGAUAGGAGUGUAGACAACAUAGGGAAGUACAAUGUGGCAAAGAAGACCGCAAAGCGAACUGUGAGUGAAGCACAGAGUCGGACAUAUGAGAACCUCAACCAGUGUUUAAACAUGAAGUAAGGUGAAAAGGGGCAUUUAUAAGAUGGCCAAGAUCGAAGAGAGAAAAAUGAGGGAUGUCAACCAAGGCAAAUGCAUAAAAAGCAGAGCAGAUCCGCUUCUGGUGAAGGACGAGAAGAUCAAACAUAGAUCGAGAGAGUACUUCGACAAGCUGUACAAUGGAGAGAAUGAGAGCUAUGCUGACGAGGAUCUAACUGACCUCACGUUGCCACCAUCUUAGCUUGCACGUCAAGAUGGUACUUUGAUCUCUAUCUAGGCCUCUGGGCUCCCCCCGACGUUGGUCCUUCACGGGGUCACCCGGGCCCCGAGGCAGGCCUGCUACCAGGCUUCCCACCAAGAGGCCACUCCCGGUGUAUUAUACCGUUAGCGAGAUAAAAAAAUUUCAUCCUAAGAUCAUAAUGAGCACUCCCGGUGAUUAGAGUUCUUGUUUAAUUUUGAGAUAAUCAUAAGUAAGUCUCUCGUGAUCCACCGAGAGAGAAUCAUAACGAUUGGAUAGUUCCUCAAGUUUUGACAAAAGAGCAGAAGGCUCAUUGGUGAACAUUUGGUUUUUCUCCAUCUCCUUGACCAACAAACUUUCUUGCAACACAAUCGUCUUAAGUUGCUUGUCAAGAAAACCUUGUUGCUUAGAGGCAAUUUUAAUGAGCUUAGCAUAAUUAGGUUUGUUAUGAACAAUUUCCUCAGAGGAAGAACCAUCACAAGAAUCGGCCUGAGAUUUCUGAGAGAUACCUUGGAGACUUUUGCCAUGAAGCAGUGUGCAGGUGCUUCAUCAUCACUACCAUCAUUACCGAAGAAGGAACUCGACGCUAGUGUGGAAGCACAUGCAAUUCCUGCAAUGCCGGACAGAAUAAUUUGCAGACGAUUCUUCUUCAGUGGCAUCAGAUUCAUAAACUUCUUUGAAAUCCAUUUCCUUCAAUAUCACUCGUGGCCUUGUGAGAGUUAUUUUUCUUCUUCUGGAGCUGGACUUCGAGGAAGAACCCUAUGUAUUCUUGAAACGUUCCUUCUUCUUUUCAUUGUUAGAAUCAUAGCUCUUUCUUGACUUGUUGCCCAUACUGAACUUUCCACUGUUCCUAGCCCCAACUUCUCAUUGAGGACAAUCAGCAAUAAAAUGACCAUUUCUCUUGCACUUGAAGCAGGAAUUGUUCGAAAAGAAUUUGAGCUUGAGACAACUCGGGAACUAUUCACUACAAAAUUUGCACUAUCUUGUGACGUUUUACUUGUGUCACGUAUAACCAUUUUGUGUCACGAAAAAUGUACUCGUGAUGUUUUCUGGCCGUCACUCCCACUGUCACUGAAGCGCCGUCAUAAAAAAUAAAAUCUUGACGCGCAAGAUCGCAUCUUAGGUGAUGAACCCAAAAAUGUCAUUGGUGACCGUUUUCGAUGAAGGCCCAUUAUGUCACCUAUGAUAGGCUUAUCUGUCGCCUAAGAUCAUUUUUGGUGACUAUUCCGUUAUUAGUGACCAGUCUGUGGGUUUGACCGAUCAAAGAUUCUGACAAGUGAGGCUAGUAGUUGAUGACGUGGCUUCUUCUAUGUGGGUUGGAUGUGGGUUUUAUUGCCGACGGUCCUGUUAGUAAUAACUUGGGCGCCUGUUUUGACCUGUCAACGGUGCUGACAUAUGAGCCGAGAAGAUGAUGACAUGGCUGCUUACAUGUGGGACCAGGUAAUGGCAACAUCAUGCAUUUACGUCACAAUUACCGCCGCACGUAGAAAAUGUUGUAAUUCAUAUAUUAUAAAUUUUCCCGGCGAAUCUGUAUAUAAUUUGAAAUUUUAGGAAAAUAGAUUCAAAUUUUGAAUCAUUGGAAUAUGAGAAUUCAAACAUUGGCAAUAGAUCUUCCAUUGUAAGUGAAACUUGACAUUUUACAAGGAGAAGCAAAGGACAUCGUCUCGGACAGUACAAAUUAGACAAAGGGAAAUUAAGUUGACUAUAAGCACGAGGCCAUUGGUGUUUCUAGACGAUGUCUUGUGCUGACUAUGUGGACUUCCUUAAUAGGUGACUAAGCAUUGCCUCCAUAUGUUUUGCCUUUUUUGAAUGACAGUGGUUUUCUACUGCUGAUCCAUCUUGAAAUCUUCAAUUUCUUGUAACUACUUCUUGUGUUCUUUAAUUUCUACUAUUUGGGUAAAAAGUAUUUCAUUCAGCUCUUGAUGAAACAUAUCACUUGCCUUUUUUGCAUCUGCGUCAUGAGUUGCAAUGAUGUAUUCUAGGUCAUGGAUGUGUUCGCGAGAGGAUGAAUUCUUCCCAGAAGAGGAUGAGAAGCCCAUGCUCGAAAGUAAUGUGCUUGAGGAGCUCUUUUCCUCAAUAAUAUCUACAUCAUGUAUUGUUGUCGUAUCAAGCCGUUUUGAUGGUGUAUGUUUGGUCCUCGAUUCAUUCUGCAACAGAAAUGAUAACACUGCUAGAGCAGUGUUUGAUAGUUUAAAUAAUUAUGGCUAGACUAUACAUUUAAAGUCUACAAAUUAGGCAAUACUUACUAUUUGCUUUUGGGCAGCCAAGCAAAAUGUAGGAUCUUUCUUUGUGGUGCACGUAGGUUCUAGCAAGUCUCCACCGAUUUGGUUAUCAAUGAUGUCCUCAGGCUUAUACCAGAUUUAUCAAUUGUUAAACAUUAAUACUGCAAGUCAUAUAGUAAUCCAACAUAAAUCAUUUGCAAUAAGGUAGUACAAAUACUUAGCAUAUGUCUAAAGUGGGAAUCACAUUUUGUAGGUGCAGUGUUUUGGCUUAGCUUCAUAGUAGAUGAUUUUCCUUCUUUCUUGGCACGAAGUGCCUAUGACAUGAAGCUCAAAUUUAGUAUGUUGUGUCCAGAAGUACAGAUUGACAACUUAAAGGGCGAAGAGUGUGUAUUACAUACAUUGGAGUGAUCCUCACACCACUGGUCCACAAGUUUCUCCCAAUUUUCUUCUUUUAUGUACUCAGGCUUCAGCGAUAUAGCCUGCUCACGGGUGCAUUUUUUUUACCUUGUUCCAGUAAUUGUUCCUAUCUGGAAUAUCAUGGCCACAUUUCCUCAAAAUACCAAUGCACAUUUCUGCGGCAAAUGCAUUCUUCGGGUUAGCAUGAACCUUUCUCUACAUAAAACAUACGCUCAUUUUGGAUACAACAUAUGCAUGUCUAGUUUUCAUAGACGUUUAACAACACAAAAUUCAAGUUGUAGAUGAAUUAGCAAUCAGAAAGAAAGUUUAACCAUGCGAAUAGAUGGGUUGUUCACUAUAGAUGUUGCAGUCGAAGAUGAAGGUACGUUGGCUAUGGUACGCUUCUUCCAUAGUGCCAAUGUCCAACCAUACAUUGUCUGCCCGAAUGCACUUGAAGACAUAGUUUACAAACAUAAAUCUAGAAGUGGCAUCGUCUGAACCCUGUGAAUCCUAUCAAUUCGGUAGACAACAUCCAUUGUUAGUGCACGAUUGGCUAUAGGAUAAUCGUCCUCUGGUGUUUCUUCUUUAAUCCUGUAGUACAGAUGUGUUGAUUUGGCAGCAGUAGCUGUAGAGUUGUACACCACCUGUUACUACGCAUGGUCAUCAAUAAUGUGAACAAAGAUUCAGAGGGUACCACAUACUCCAUAAGUAAAUUGUAUUAGUAAGAAUAAAAGGUAGUAAUGCACUACCAAAUCUACAACAUAUCUAUAAUACCUAAAUAGUUCAUCCCCACUAACCUAUUUCUCUUGAUAUGCAGCCUAUCCACAUCAUCAACCAGCCAUGUCAGCAUUUCAUCACUAGCUUACACGAGGGACCCACCAAAGAUUGACCAAUUUACAUAAUGGACACGUCACCCUUCAGUUACCAGAUGUAGAGACCCACCACUCGCUCCCUAGCGUACACAAACAGCGUACAAAAGCCCAUAUGAAAAAUAACGUACAAAAUCCCGACCGUCUCUCUCCCUCGAUUCAGCAUCCAUCAAUGUGUUAAAAAAAACUUCAUUUUUGUAUGUACACCCCAACGCGGCGGAUGGGAUCCCAUCUCACGCGGCAGGACCGUCAGCUUAUCUCCCCUCCGUGAUUCUCCGGGAAUCGCUCACCCCGCAACCCCUUCUCAUGUGCGCCGCCACUCCCUCUCUCUUUGUCUCCAUCUCGAUCUAUCAUCUCCCUCGUAUGGUGCCACCAGUGACUGGGGCGACGGCUAGCACCAGUGCUUUGGGGGAAGGUCACACCAGUGACAACAGCGGAGGCUGGUGGUGCCACCAGCGACUGGGAAACCUGCUUGGUCUGGGCUUUGCGACGGCAAGGACGCGCGGCACUACCGGCCCAGAUGAUCCAGGUCGCAUCUCCACUUCAGAACGACAUCCUUCUCCACGCAAGCAUUGGGGAGAGUUCUUGGCCGUGCGGCAACCAACAGCAAUCAGCAGCAAGCAGGCGUAUAAAGAUCCGUCCAGCCACAAGUAGUUGCCGACCGGUGAAAAAGUUGAUUUGUUUGUGUGGUGGACGGCGUUGUGCUAUGCAUGUCACCCACAAAUGAAUCGGUAUAUCUACUUACGAUUUCUUCUUUUUUUGGUUAUUUUUCUGGAUGAUUUUUUUUGAUUUAGCACUCCAAUCCGUCAAGUUUGUUAUAUGUUUGUUUGUUGCAUGACCAAAGGUUAGUCUAAUUGGUUAUACCAAACACGGAACCAACUCAUUCGAGUGGAAUGGAACAUCUUUUCAACAACAUUGGCCUGCUUAAUACGUGAUAUCCUUACGACGAGCUUUAUUUAUCUGAAUGUUAUUUUUUUCAUGAUUGGCAAACUUUAUAAUUAAUCAUCUCUUUUUAAUCAGAUCACCGCAGAAGAUUAUAAUCAUAUCUAUUCCUCCCUCUCAAUAUAUUCCCGAGGUAUGUCCUUUUGAACUAUUGUGUAGUUUCAUUACAACAGUAGUAUGUACAAGUUCAAAAAUCUCAAUUUUGAUUUAAAAAAUUCAAAACUCCCAAAUAGACUGUGAGUAGAAAUUCGUAAGCUUUACCUGGAGUUGCAUUUCAGUAGUAGUGUUGUGACUGGUAGUUGUUUCCUUGACUACAAAUUCAGAGUUGAUUUGAAUUCUUACCACCGGUCUUUGUGUCAGAGCUAACAUCGACGACACUACACACCGCUUGCAGUUGCUACCUUCUCCCCUUGAAGCAUGGCAUCUAUGGCAUGCCUGCCUGAUCCCACAACCGUUUUUCUCUCUCUCGUGACUUUCUAAUAUGCAAAUUAAUUUUUGUUCCCUGCUCAUGUUACAAGGGUGGCACUUGGACCAUGGCAUCUCCCUAACAUUAAUAUACUCCCAUUUUUGUUUCAAGAAUUUAGUAAUUGAUAUCCUAUUCUAUACAUUUCUAAAACUGUUGAUUCAAACUUGCUAGGUUUCUUGAUGAUGUGUGGUAAGACUUCUGCUAUCAACCAAAUUAGGAAUUCUGGAGAAGGUAAGGAUGUUUCUCUCUUUUGUAAUAUUUAUCUGUCAUCUAUUGUUGCAGCUAUUUUUUACUUGCUUUACCCAGUUAUAGUUCAACAAUGAUUUGCCAAGUUAAUUCCCCUUCUCUUCGUUAUCCACAUUCAUCCCUGAAUCCAUGAUACAACAACCUCCCCAUAAGCUUUCCUACCAUUGUAUCCGCACAGGAGCCCCUCCCAUUGGAAUUGCGCCAUCCACACACAUGAGGUGCAGCAGUCCAUGGUGGCAUGGCUUUGGAGCUGUAGCUGUGCUUGCAGACGCCUCGAGAUAUUCAUGCACAUCCAGAUAUGCACCAUCCGCAGACAUGAGGUGCAUCUGUCACAUGGUGUCCUGGUUUUGGAGCUGGAGUUGUGCUUGCUACUGCCGCGAGAUUUUCAUGCACAUCCACAUAUGUGCCUAACCUUGCUGCGUCUACCUGAUGUUAUGCGAUUUUGGCACAGGCAAUGCUGAAGAGGCACGUGACAAUUGCCAUUUGCCCGUGCUUUUUUACUAUUCUUUUCUUUUUCAUAUAUGUUCAUUGUGCCUGGUUACUGUGGUGAGAUGCCAUGUUAGGAAUGGUAAAUCAUAACGAGGUGUAUAAGCUAAAGUAAGGAAUACAUAUAUUGUUACAUUCUGCUGCAGGAAGUGGCUUAUUUUUUCUAUAUUAGAGGUUCACGUUCCAGUGAAGUCAUUUACGUAAGGUUAACUGCAUCUUAAUUUGGUAUGCUGUCAAGCUAGAAUUAGGGCUCUAGGUCGAAGGGUGAUCAACUGAAAUGCACAUCAACUAUCUUGAGUAUUGGUGAGUGCCUACAUCAUCUUAAUGCCAAUAGAUCUUAGCUAAUAAAAAGUUUAUUUCGCAAUACCACCUUAUCAUGCUAUUUGUACAUAUUGCGCUAUUUCGUAUAAAAAAGAAGAUGCAUGUCAUAAUAUGAACCGGGGAAUGCACUGGGUCCAAACAUAUAGAAUGGCUAAUAAUCAUGUGAAGACAUUAUGAUGGAGGAUGGGGUCAAAUGGACAAAAGGUUCUAGCUACUUCAAACAUGCAGUCUGAAUUUUCUUUCAUAUUUGUGGUUCAAGUUACUUCUCUUUUACCAUAUGAUAUGCAGUCGUAAAUUGUAAGACCAUAUGUGCAGAACUCACAUGUGAGUUUUAGUGCUAUGGCUUAGGUUUAGUGCCCUGAUCAUAAAAAAGAUGUUACUCCUAUAAUUUGAUAAUUCCUUUUUAUUAGAUUACCAUGAUUCAUCCUAAGCUAAAUUCAUCUGAUGUUACAUUGUGGACCUUUCUUUACACCAUACCUUAACACAGCAACGAGCGGGGAGUCAUCUAGUAAUGAUAGAUUUGAUGCAGUAUAACAUGCUAUCUCAAGAAGAAAUAAUCAUUCAAUUGUGAAAACAACACGAAAGAUGUCGUGGAAUUGUCAUGACAGAUGCCCUAGCAUGAGGACUUAGGUGUGGAGCCAUCGCAACAUAGUUAGCUUGAAGGGGUUAAAACGGGACAAGGGACACAGAUAGUUUCACCCAGGUUCGGCCCCUCGCAACAAGGUAAAGGUCUACUCCUGCUUUAGGUUGUAUUGCUUGGGUUUUGCUUACCAGGGAGCGAAUACGCUUGACCUAGUUCUCGACUUGUUGUUUCUUGACCUAACCCGCCGCCGAGUCACCCCUUUAUAUACACAGGCUGAUGCCCGGUGGCUUACAGAGUCCCGGCCGGAUCAUACACAACGUGUCCGGCUCGGUGACAGAACUAAACUUUCCUUAACAUACAAGUUAAACAUAUGGCAGUUUAUACCCGUGGGCCUCAAGUCUCCUCCGGGUCUUGGGCCUUCAGUAAGAUUGCUUCUUGAACCGCCAUCUUCAACAUCUUCUUGGGCCUUCUCAUUAUGAACCACCAAUGGUAUGACCUGGCCCCUCCUGGGCGGGUCAUACCCAAUAGUCAUAUCCCCAACAUUAGGCCCCAGGUUGAUGUGAACUUGUUCAUAUCAAUCUUCAACACUUGGCUUAGAAAAAAUCCUUCAUUGUCAAUCCUUAUGAAAUCUUAUAACCCGCCAUGAUGUCAGCUCACAGAAUUGUUGUAACCCAUCAUGACGUCAUCUCACAUUAAUAUCACACGAGGCCCAAAUCUCAAUAUGCCUUCACUUUUAAUGAACCUCCGAAAAUUGAGGCAUCUGUGCUGUCACAUAACCACUUUUCAGCCUCCUCGAUUCCCACGCAUGCCAUCUAUCCACUGCCUUAUAAAUAGGGACAGGGUCCUUUUCUUUUUCCCCUUGCCUCCUCGUCUUCGUCCUCUUCCUCACAACGCCUUAAGCGCCCGAGCUCCACUGCCGCCGUCGACCUUCGUCCGCUGCACCACCUCUAGCCGCUACAUCGACCUGAGCGCACCAGAAACACCGCCGCGCGCCUCCGCUCUUCAACAGCCUCGGUAAGCUCCCCUCUUUCCUCAUCAUAGAUCUCCAUUAGGGUUUGCUUGAGUUCUUCGGAGUUCAUCUCCGUUCCUCUAUUCCUUCCCAUCUCUUGUAGUUUUUGAUCUGAGUUUAGUACUCACCUUGCGCGACAUCAGUUUAGUACUCCUUUUUGAUAUUUGAACGUCUCCCCUCCAUGAGAGAUCUCAUCUGAGCACGUGAACUGUUCUGCUGCCGCCACUUAGGUUUAGAAUUUUCUUCAUUAUCUGAAAUGUUGUAGAUCCAAAAUUAUAGCACCGAUUUAUGAAAACUAUUUGUCCAACACUUAGCAAUUCUUCACUUAUAGAUCUGAAAACUGAUAGCUAUGUGGACGGCUUAACUGAUAAACCAUAACCCACCAGGUACCAUUAAUCCCCUCUUAAGCCGCCAAUAGAUUGCUCUGCAUGUCUCAAUACUAACCUCCGGCUUAACACACUGCAUGUUUAUAGUUCUUACCUUUGAACCAAUGACCGGCUUAACCAAUAUAAUCUUAAACCGACAAUAUUUUCUUUUCAGACCUUCAUCAACAAUGAGUAAGAACUUCACCUCCUGCAAUUGGGUGCCGUCCCGGGUUACCGAGGACGAUAUGAACAACUUUGUUCAAACUGGCGUUUUAGCCAAGAAAAACGACAUCCAUUGGAGGGUCCCAGGCACUGAAAAUCCUCCUCAACCCAAAGAAGGAGAAAUGAUUGUUUUUAUUGAUCAUAUGAUCCGUGGGUUUAGCCCGCUGAUGUCUACUACGUAACCUUCUCCUUGUAGACGUUGUUGGGCCUCCAAGUGCAGAGGUUUGUAGGACAGUAGCAAAUUUCUCUCAAGUGGAUGACCUAAGGUUUAUCAAUCCAUGGGAGGUGUAGGAUGAGGAUGGUCUCUCUCAAACAACCCUGCAACCAAAUAACAAAGUGUCUCUUGUGUCCCCAACACACCCAAUAAAUGGUAAAUUGUAUAGGUGCACUAGUUCGGUGAAGAGAUGGUGAUACAAGUGCAAUAUGGAUGGUAGAUAUAGGUUAUCGUAAUCUGAAAUUUUAAAAACAGCAAGGUAACUAAUGAUAAAAGUGAGUGUCGGUGUCAAAACCGGUGGAUCUCGGGUAGGGGGUCCCGAACUGUGCGUCUAGGCGGAUGGUAACAGGAGACAAGGGACACGAUGUUUUACCCAGGUUCGGGCCCUCUUGAUGGAGGUAAAACCCUACAUCCUGCUUGAUUAAUAUUGAUGAUAUGGGUAGUACAAGAGUGGAUCUACCACGAGAUCAAGGAGGCUAAACCCUAAAGCUAGCCUAUGGUAUGAUUGUUGUAAUGUAUGUUAGACACCGGAGAAGGCUAGGGUUACACAGAGUCGGUUACAAUGGUAGGAGAUCUACAUAUCCGUAUCGCCAAGCUUGCCUUCCACGCCAAGGAAAGUCCCAUCCGGACACGGGACGGAGUCUUCAAUCUUGUAUCUUCGUAGUCUUGGAGUCCGGCGGACGAUGAUAGUCCGGCUGUCCGGACACCCCCUAGUCCAGGACUCCCUCAGUAGCCCCUGAACCAGGCUUCAAUGACGAUAAGUCCGGCGCGCAUAAUGUUCGGCAUUGCAAGGCGGGUUCCUCCCUCGAAUAAUCCAGAGAAGAUCAUGAACACCAGGAUAGUGUCCGGCUCUGCAAAAUAAAUUCCACAUUCCACCGUAGAGAGAAUAAAAUGUACACAAGUCCAAUCUGCUGACGUAUUAUGCGGCAUGACAUCACACCGCUACCAAGCCUCUACUUGAAUCGUUUUUUAUUAUACCACCUUAGCACGUUUAGCGAAGCGGUUUCCUUGGCACGUCCUGUCGAAGCAGAGAUCGUGUUCCCCUUAUUCCGGGAUUCUCAUCAAUACGGACGUGGGUAACCCAACCGCGCCAUUGAUGGUGGCGCUUGGGAGAUAAGCGAGUUUUACUAGGCCGAUGGGGGACGCAUAGUCUUCAUCUGCCUAUAUAUAAGGGAUAAGGAUUUACCUUCUCACCUACGCCUUCUUGCUCCUUUGCUUAUCCAUCUCCGCGCACUCAAGCUCCAACGCCCAAGCUCGCGCAUCUCGCCUCGACCUUCUCCGACCAUGUCCGGAGCGGGAGGCAAAUGGUUGGCCUCCACCGUUAAGGAGGAGCACAUCACCAAGCUGCGCAGCGCCGGAUACCUUUCCGGCGACAUCGCGCAUCGGCUGCCCGACGACGGGCAGCUCAUCCCCACCCCCGGGCCCCAUGAGAGGGUUGUUUUCCUCCCCCACUUCCUCCGCGGACUGGGCUUUCCAUUUCACCCUUUUGUCCGGGGGCUCAUGUUUUACUACGGCCUGGAUUUCCACGAUCUGGUGCCGAACUUCAUCCUCAACAUCUCGGCGUUUAUCGUCGUGUGCGAGGCCUUCCUCUGCAUCCAGCCCCACUUCGGCCUGUGGCUCAAGACCUUCAACAUCAAGCCGAAGGUUGUGAAGGGCACGCAAGCAGAAUGCGGAGGCGCCAUGUUGGGCAAGUUGCCCAACGUCCUUUGGCUCGAAGGGGACUUCGUGGACUCCGUUAAGGGGUGGCAAUCGGGGUGGUUUUACAUCACCGAGCCGCGCGAACCCACGUGGGCGGCGGCCCCCGAGUUCGGAUCUGGCAUCCCCACGCAGCUCACCUCCUGGAAAGAGAAGGGCUUGUUGUGGGGCAAUCCGAAGGAGCUGAUGGGACUCCGAGCCUGUAUCCAGAAGCUGGUGAACAAUAAGCUCAGGCUCGUCGACGUGGUCCAAGUCAUGCUCAUCCGCCGGAUCCUCCCAUGCCAAGAACGGGCAUUCAAUUUGUGGGAGUUCAAUCCGGAACAGCACCAGGCGCUAAGCGGGCUCUUCGACACGACGUACGAAGGCGCCUGGAGGGUGUUGUUUAAGGGCGCCGAAGCCCCCGCAUCCGCGACGGAAGAUCGCGGAUUUCGCUCGCAGCAUCCAGCUGACGAGGUAAGUGAUUCAACCCCUUUACGGGACACUUGUGGUAAAUAGAUUGAUUCUAAGAGGGUUUCAACCUCUCUUUUCCUUUGGCAGGAAUGGAUGGAGAAGGCCGAGCAGCUCAUCUGUCCGGCUCCCAUGCCAGAAGACCCAGUGAACGCCCGUCUAGCGGGGCUGCUGGUUCCGGCACCGCACGUGGUGCCGGAGAAGAAGGCCAAGAAGGUGGCCAUGGGGACUCGGAAGAGUUCCCGUAAUCAGGCGUCCAACGACGAGGCGGACUCCUCCCCCGAAGACGAGGAGGAGGAAGAAGACUCUCUCCCGGAGGAGGGAGAGAGGAAGAGAAAGGCUUCCCCAAUAGGGGAGGCCGAAGGGUCCAAGAGGGGGAGAACUAUUCCCCCGGACAGCUCCGCCAACACCAACGUUGGCGAAGAGGAGUGGCCUUCAAGGGCCAGGCCUCCGGCGAGAUCGUAAGUAUCCGGAUCCCUGUAUAAUCUGAAAUUUCUUUCGUGCCACAUAGUGCCUUUCUAAUGCCGCAUACUGCCUAUAGUCCGGACGACGAUGAUCUCCCUGCUUCAUCGAGCGGGUCGUUGGCGGCGUCGGAUGUGGAGUCCAUCCCGACUGCCUCCACCCCUCGCGCCGACGAGGACGCCGAGGUGGGAUCCCGGAAAGGGACCCAUCAGGAGGAGGCCCCGGAGGCACCGCAAGGCAGCCUCCCGGACUAUGCGCCGGACUCUACGCCGGAACCUGCAGUGGUUCCAGAGUCCGGCAGUCGGCCCCUUCGCAAGAAGGACAAGACCGUGACACCGGCGGCCCCCGUCCAACCGGAGGCGCCGGACAACUUGUUGGAGGCGCUCAAAGACGCUUCCAUCGAGGAAGAACACCGUACUAUCAUGAGUGCGGUGAUUCAGAAGGUUCAGCUCGCCAAGAGCGGGUUGACCGAAGCCUGCAGCAGCCUUCUAACAGGCUUUCAGGUAAGAAGUCAAAAUUAUGUAAUGUAAUACCGCAUAGACAGUAGCCCCUGAUGCUCAGUCCGGUGUUCGGAAAGAAAAGCUGGACUGAGGAUCUAAAAAGAUAUACGCAGGGUUGCUUGAAAUAUGUCAAUAUGGGUUUGCAGGCUGCGCUGCUGACCUCUGCCGCACUGACUGCGGAGGUCGGUGCAUUAAAGCAGGAUCUCGAGCGGUCCGAGCAAGAGCUCGACCAUGCCAAGAAGCAGCUCGAGGACAAAGAAGGUGAGUAACACCACUUUGAAGAUUUACCUUACAGAAAAGGAUUUAGGUUGCAAAAAAUUAACAAGGAUAAUAUGGGUAUUGCAGGGGCCACAAACGAGGUGGCAGCCCUGAAGGAGGCUGUGUCCGCGGCCGAACGCAGUGCGGCCGUGGAACGGGCGAAGCGAGAAAAGCAGGAGGCACAGGUGGCGGAAGUGCGGCAAGAGCUCCAGGCUCUCAUGGAGAAGCAUGAGAGCUUGGAGCGUGACUCCAAGACUCGAGAGUCCGAACUUGCCUCGGCUCUCGAAAGUGCCAAGUCCGCCAAGGUCGAGGCCCGUAAUGCCCUUCAGGAGGUUGAAGAUGUAAAGAACAUAGCGGCGGGUAAGGCAUUUUUCAUGCAAAGCAAGCAUGUUAAUGUAAACUACCUGACACUUACCCGCAUUCGGAGCUCUCCAGGGGCGUUUGCAGAUCUGCCGCGUAGUGUGUCCGAUGCCGCCGCAUUCUAUCGUGGCGAGGAGGGGAGCUCGACGGAGAAGGUCUUCUGGUCUCAGUACGCUGAGGCCGGCCAUCCGGUGCCCCCAAGCGACCAGCUGAAGCAGCUGGUCGAACUCCACAAGGUAGCUGAGGAGGCCAUGAAGGGCCUUAUAGUCCGGCUGUGGCCUGGACAGGCCAUGCCUGGGAGCUACUUCGGCCUCGUGCGGUGGCUGGUGGAUGCGUGCCCCUGGGUGGAGGUCAUCAAGCGCUCCGCCUGUAUUGAAGGUGCUCGUCGGGCCCUUGCCCGCACAAAGGUGCACUGGGGCAGGCUGGAUGCGGAGAAGCUUCUCACUGACCCGCCGCCACCGGGCAAGGAGCAUCGUACGCCCGAAAUGUAUUAUAAAACUGUCCUGAAGGGAGCCCGCGAUAUUGCGGAUGAAUGCCCCAGAGAUGUAAUUUUUGAGUAAACUCGCUAUGUAUUAUCCUGUGCGCUGAAAACUUUGUUCAUAUGCGCUUUAAGCAACGCUUGUUUAAUUUAAAAUAUUACCUUUUGUGCGGCCGUUUAUAAAAUCUGAGAGAUGGCAAGUAGUUGGCUUCAGCCCCCGAGCCGCGAGUGCUGGGGUGUUCGGGAUAAACUUGAGCACUCUUGUUCCCAUUUUUGGGUCCAUCUAGGGAGGCGCUCAACACAACGAACAAGGCAACCGGACUUAUAAUGCUUGAACACUCUCACUUAGCCAUAGAAUUCUAUAAUUUUAAAUUUCAGCGAAGCCCCUGGUAUUCGGAAGACCGAAUCCGGGGCGCUAUCCACGCCUUCGUCGGACAUUAUCCGGAACUUCGCUCGAAGCGGCGUGAGUCUUUAAGGACCCGAAAAGACCUCUCGAACAGCGACCAGUCUCUCGCCUUAUCAUGCCGGUCAGUUUUAGCUUUCUCCACUGAGGCGCUCGCCCGGCUCAACCGGGGCGCAAUCGCAGUGGUUCUCCCAGUGCCACCUUAGUCGACAGAACGGAACGUAAGGCACCAAAACGUGGGAGCCGGGCAAACCCAACUAUUGACCCAAGACAUGAUUCGGAGCCGAUUCAUAUAAUGCUAUAAGUUCGGGGUGCCGCACUUAUGAAAGUGUUCGGACUUAUCACACCAUAAUGUGGGGAACAUAAGCCCCUGGUGUAUUAGGCCGUACCAAAAUAUACGGGUGCAAGAUGUCAUGUAAUGAACAUAUAUAUAUAUAAAGUAAUGUAAUUGCAGUCGAAAAGUGUUGCAUUAUUUAUUAAAGGAAGUCUGUUAUGAGUGUGGACUGAUACAAAUAGUGCGGUAAGCAAGGGAUUUGGACUAAUUAAACAUGUCCCCCUCCAGGGAUGAGCUGCGGACUUGGUGUAUAUAAUCGAAUUUAAUGCUCGUAAUUGAGACCACCUGAGUGUUCGUCGCAGCCUUCUUUCUUCCCUGGCUGUUGCAUCGUGAGUUCGGCAGGUUCACCGCCGGACAGGGCCUUUGGUUAACGGAGUCCUGUGUAUACAAAGAAGGAAAAUAAUAAUAAAAAAGAGUGGCACACUUGCGAGCCCCUGGUGUGGUCGAGCCGCACUCUGGGUCCAUUGUGAUCGUGCCCCUUCCCCUGCGCCCAUGGUAUCUCCAAAGCGUAAUGAUGUACGCGGAGGGUUGUUCUUGCAAUCAUGCGAGGGCGGGGGUUAGGGACGCAUUGCUACGCGUGCUCUGAUCGUGCCAGGUGGUCUUGGUUGGUAUUGCUUCGGGCGCGUUUUGCUAUAUCCGGCCGUUUAACGGCCGGACUCGAAAAUUGCCUUAAAAGGCUGCUCUGUACUUCUGCCGCAAGAGCCACUGUAUGUUCCUCCGUUCGGAGGGAGCGUUCCGUAUUUCCGUUGACCGUGAUGACUCCACGAGGGCCUGGCAUCUUGAGCUUGAGGUAUGCAUAAUGCGGCACCGCGUUGAACUUUGCAAACGCGGUUCGUCCGAGCAGAGCGUGAUAGCCGCUGCGGAACGGGACUAUGUCGAAGAUUAACUCCUCGCUCCGGAAAUUGUCCGGGGAUCCGAAGACCACUUCCAGUGUGACUGAGCCUGUACAAUUGGCUUCCACACCUGGUAUGACACCUUUAAAGGUUAUCUUUGUUGGUUUAAUCCUUGAGGGGUCUAUGCCCAUCUUGUGCACUGUAUCCUGAUAAAGCAGGUUCAGGCUACUGCCGCCGUCCAUCAGGACUCUCAUGAGGUGAAAUCCAUCGAUGAUUGGGUCUAAAACCAAUGCGGCAAAUCCGCCAUGGCGUAUGCUGGUUGGAUGGUCUCUUCGAUCGAAAGUGAUCGGACAAGAGGACCAUGGAUUGAACUUCGGGGCGACUGGCUCCAUCGCAUAGACGUCCCUUAAUGCACGCUUCCGUUCCCUCUUGGGUAUAUGGGUUGCGUAAAUCAUGUUCACCAUUCGCACUUGUGGGGGGAAACCCUUCUGUCCUCUAUUGUUCGGCGGUCGGGUCUCUUCCUCAUCAUCGUUGUUUAGCCCCUUGUCAUUGUUUUCGGCAAUUAACUUGCCUGCCUGCUUGAACACCCAACAAUCUCUGUUGGUGUGAUUAGCUGGCUUUUCAGGGGUGCCAUGUAUCUGGCAUAAGCGGUCGAGUAUUCGGUCCAAGUUGGACGGACCCGGAGUGGUUCUUUUGAAUGGCUUCUUCCGCUGACCGGGUUUAGAGCCUCGGAAUCCGGCGUUGACUGUCGUAUCCUCCUUAUCGUCGCCGUUAAUGCGGCAUUUAUUUUUGCUUCGACGUGACCUGCCGUUAUGGUCCUUAGUAUCCGGACUGCCAGAAUUUUUAUUGAGGUUGUUGCUGCGAGCUAGCCAGCUAUCCUCUCCCGUGCAAAAGCGGGUCAUUAAUGAUGUGAGGGCUGCCAUGGAUUUCGGCUUUUCCUGUCCCAGGUGCCGGGCUAGCCACUCGUCGCGGAUGUUAUGUUUGAAGGCUGCGAGGGCCUCUGCAUCCGGACAGUCGACGAUUUGGUUUUUCUUUGUCAACAACCGUGUCCAGAAUUGUCUGGCCGAUUCCUUUGGCUGCUGAAUUAUGUGCCUUAGGUCAUCGGCGUCUGGUGGCCGCACAUACGUGCCCUGGAAAUUAUCGAGGAAUACGGCUUCCAGGUCUUCCCAACACCCAAUUGAUUCUGCGGGCAAGCUGUUAAGCCAAUGCCGAGCUGGUCCUUUAAGCUUGAGUGGGAGAUAUUUGAUGGCAUGGAGAUCGUCGCCGCAUGCCAUAUGGAUGUGAAGGAGAUAAUCUUCGAUCCAAACCACGGGGUAUGUUGUGCCGUCGUAGGAUUUGAUGUCUACGGGUUUAAACCCUUCAGGGAUUUGAUGAUCCAUUACUUCGUCAGUGAAGCAUAGCGGGUGUGCGGCGCCUCUAUAUUGAGCAAUAUCACGACGCAGCUCGAGAGAGCGUUGUCUGCUUUGUUCGGCCCGGCCGGGGUUACUGUAUCCGGCGCGACGGUAUUCGUCACGGGUCGUGGGGCGCCCUCGUGAUCCGUAGAUGGAUCUGGAUUGCCUUGCUUUGUCCUCCAAUACGUCUCACAAGUCCGGCGCAUUCCCUCUUGGCUUCGUACUUUUGGAGCGAUGCCGGGGUACGGUCUUUGUGGAUGGUCUGGAUGCCUCUCUGUCGCGACCACGGGGUGGUCGGUCGGCCGUAUCAUGCGCUGGUGAUGAAGGUAUGUAUGCUUCCUCCUCUAAUGGGGGGAGCAACUUGCGUCUGGGGUAGCUUUUGGAGGGGCGUUUGAGUUUAAACUCUUCGGCCGCGAGGACCUCGGUCCAUCGAUCGGCCAGCAGGUCCUGAUCAGCUUGAAGCUGCUGCUGCUUUUUCUUUAGGCUAUUUGCCGUGGCAAUAAGCCUGCGUUUAAAACGCUCUUGUUCGACGGGAUCCACGGGCACGACGAAUUCGUCGUCGUUGAGGCUUGCCUCGUCUUCGGAGGGAGGUAUAUAGUUAUAAUCCUCGACCUCUUCGUCUGCCGCCCUCUCGUGAGGGCUUGCUUCUGCAUCCUCCUGCGCUGAGUCUUGCUGGAGGGGAUUAUCUUCGGCACUCUCUGGGGUAUUAUUAUCUCCUUUUCCGGAAUCUCCAUUCUUGCUGUGGCGGGAUUUAGAGCGGCGCCGCUGACGCCGGCGCUUGGGCUGUUUCUUUAAGAAAUCUGCCUCCGCUGCUUCUUCGCCUUCCCCGUCUUUUGGGGUGUCAACCAUGUAUAUGUCGUAUGACGAGGUGGUCUUCCAGUGCCCUGUAGGCGCUGGUUCCUGUUCGUCUCCGGCAUCGUCGUCCAUAGCGUCGAUGUCUUCGGAGUCGUAGUCUAGCAUGUCGGUAAGAUCGUCGACAGUGGCUACAAAGUGGGUGGUGGGUGGGCUCUGAAUUUCUUCGUCGUCCAUAUCCCAACCAUCCUGGCCAUAAUCUGGCCAGGACUCUCCAGAUAACGAGAGAUGCUUUAGCGAAUUUAGGAUGUCGCCAAAGGGCGAGUAUUGGAAGAUGUCCACGGCGGUGAAUUCCAUAACCGGCGCCCAAUCAGAUUCGAUUGGCAGGGGCGCGGGAGGUCCGGAGUCCGGCAAGGAGUCCGGCACCUCGGAGUCACGAGUUUCGUGAGGGACAAGGCUAGUGUUCGGCUCCAUCGCCGUGGAAGUUGGAGCCCCCGAGGCGGUGUCCAACCACCGGUCCUCGAUCUGGGCGAUCGGCUCCGGUCUAAGGGCUGGAGCGGAUUCUUGUGCGGCCACCAAGGCACUGUUCGGCGGCAGAGCUAGAUCAUGCCCAUCAUAACAGUGCGGCGCGCUUGGCUGUGGCUCGAGCCCGUCGAAGAUCAAGUCUCCGCGGACGUCGGCUGUGAAGUUUAGGCUUCCGAAUCUGACCUGACGGCCAGGGGCGUAGCUUUCGAUCUGCUCCAGAUGGCCAAGUGAAUUAGCCCGCAGUGCGAAGCCGCCGAAUACGAAGAUCUGUCCGGGGAGAAAAGUCUCACCCUGGGCAGCGUUGUUGAUUGAAGACGCCAUCGAGCCUAUCGGUGACGACACAGAGGAACUCUCAAUGAAAGCACCAAUGUCGGUGUCAAAACCAGCGGAUCUCGGGUAGGGGGUCCCGAACUGUGUGUCUAGGCGGAUGGUAACAGGAGACAAGGGACACGAUGUUUUGCCCAGGUUCGGGCCCUCUUGAUGGAGGUAAAACCCUACGUCCUGCUUGAUUAAUAUUGAUGAUAUGGGUAGUACAAGAGUGGAUCUACCACGAGAUCAAGGAGGCUAAACCCUAAAGCUAGCCUAUGGUAUGAUUGUUGUAAUGUAUGUUGUGUCCUACGGACUAAAGCCCUCCGGUUUAUAUAGACACCGGAGAAGGCUAGGGUUACACAGAGUCGGUUACAAUGGUAGGAGAUCUACAUAUCUGUAUCGCCAAGCUUGCCUUCCACGCCAAGGAAAGUCCCAUACGAACACGGGACGGAGUCUUCAAUCUUGUAUCUUCGUAGUCUUGGAGUCCAGCGGACGAUGAUAGUCCGGCUGUCCGGACACCCCCUAGUCCAGGACUCCCUCAGUGAGCACAAACGGUAUUGAAAUGCUAGGAAACAAGGCCUACGGUUCAUACUUUCACUAGUGCAAGUUCUCUCAACAAUAAUAACAUAAUUGGAUCAUAUGACUAUCCCUCAACAUGCAACAAAGAGUCACCCCAAAGUCACUAAUAGCAGAGAACAAACCAAGAGAUUAUGGUAGGGUACGAAACCACCUCAAAAUUAUUCUUUCAGAUCGAUCUCUUCAAGAGUCCGUAGUAAAAUAACACGAAGCUAUUCUUUCCGUUCAAUCUAUCAUAGAGUUCAUACUAGAAUAACACCUUAAGACACGAAUCAACCAAAACCCUAAUGUCACCUAGAUACUCCAAUGCCACCUCAAGUAUCCGUGGGUACGAUUAUACGAUAUGCAUCACACAAUCUCAGAUUCAUCUAUUCAACCAACACAAAGUACUUCAAAGAGUGCCCCAAAGUUUCUAUCGGAGAGUCAAGAAGAAAACGUGUGCCAAUCCCUAUGCAUAAGUUCAAUGAACCCGCAAGUUGAUCACCAAAACAUACAUCAAGUAGAUCACGUGAAUAUCCCAUUGUCACCACAGAUAAGCACGGCAAGACAUACAUCAAGUGUUCUCAAAUCCUUAAAGACUCAAUCCGACAAGAGAACUUCAAGGGGAAAACUCAAUUCAUCACAAGAGAGUAGAGGGGGAGAAACAUCAUAAGAUCCAACUAUAAUAGCAAAGCUCGCGAUACAUCAAGAUCGUAUCACCUCAAGAACGCGUGAGAGAGAGAUCAAACACAUAGCUACUAGUACAUACCCUCAGCCCCAAGGGUGAACUACUCCCUCCUCGUCAUGGAGAGCGCCGGGAUGAUGAAGAUGGCCACCGGUGAGGGAUCCCCCCUCCGGCAGGGUGCCAGAACAGGGUCCCGAUUGGUAUUUUGGUGGCUACAGAGGCUUGCGGUGGCGGAACUCCCGAUCUAUUGUGUUCCCCGAUGUUUUCAGGCUAUAUGGACAUAUAUAGGCGAAAGAAGUCGGUCAGGGGAGCCACGAGGGGGCCACGAGGGUGGGGGCGCGCCCAGGGGGUAGGGCGCGCCUCCCGGGCUCGUGGCUUCCUUGAAGCUUCCUUGACGUCUACUCCAAGUCUCCUGGAUUGCUUCCGUUCCAAAAAUAACUCUCCCGAAGGUUUCAUUCCGUUUGGACUCCGUUUGAUAUUCCUUUUCUGCAAAACACUGAAAUAGGCAAUUUGGGUUGGGCCUCCGGUUAAUAGGUUAGUCCCAAAAAUGAUAUAAAAGUGUAUAAUAAAGCCCAUAAACAUCCAAAACAGGUAAUAUAAGAUUGAACCCAAAGCUAAGCACUUCUCCCAUUGCAAGAAAGAUCAAUCUAGUAGGCCAAACCAAACUGAUAAUUCAAAGAGACUUGCAAAGAUAACUCAAUCAUACAUAAAAGAAUUCAGAGGAGAUUCAAUUAUUUCUCAUAGAUAAACUUGAUCAUAAACCCACAAUUCAUCGGAUCUCGACAAACACACCGCAAAAAGAGUUUACAUCGAAUAGAUCUCCACAAGAGAGGGGGAGAACAUUGUAUUGGGAUCCAAAAAGAGAGAAGAAGCCAUCUAGCUAAUAACUAUGGACCCGAAGGUCUGUGGUAAACUACUCACAACUCAUCCGAGGGGCUAUGGUCUUGAUGUAGAAGCCCUCCAUGGUCGAUUCCCCCUCCGGCGGAGCACCGGCGAAGGCUCCAAGAUGGGAUCUCGCGGAUACAUAAGGUUACGGUGGUGGAAAUUGUGUUUUGUUGUCUCCCUGGAUGUUUUCGGGGUAUGUAGGCUUAUAUAGGAGGAAGAAGUACGUUGGUGGCCGCCCGAGGGGCCCACAAGAGAGAGGGACGCGCCUAAAGGGGGUGGGCGCGCCCUCAUGUCUCGUGGCCGCCUCGGCUGCUUCUUGACUUGCACUCCAAGUCCUCUGGAUCACGUUCGUUCCAAAAAUCACGCUCCCGAAGGUUUCAUUCCAUUUGGACUCUGUUUGAUAUUCCUUUUCUUUGAAAUACUGAAAUAGGCAAAAAACAGCAAUAGGGGCUGGGCCUCCGAUUAGUAGGUUAGUUCCAAAAAUGAUAUAAAUGUGUAAAAUAAAGCCCAUAAACAUCCAAAAGGGGUAAUAUAAUAGCAUGAAACAAUCAAAAAUUAUAGAUACCUUGGAGACGUAUCAAUGAACCAGCAUCAAGUGAGGAAGCUGAUAAAGAUUGUUAAUAAAAUGGGUCAAAAGAUGGCAAUUAAACUAUUUGUUUACACUUUAUCCAAUACAACAGCGAACUACACGAUGGUAAGUAAGAACUCUGCAGCCUUCUUUUUACUACUCAUAAUGAGUUGUGUUAGAUGACAAUGUCUGAAUCUUUUUUCCUUUGCAGUGGUUCCGAAAGCAGUUUACUCAAGAUUACCUCUCAAACCACAUGAUUGGUGGGCACGCAAAUGUUAAAGUAUUUCUACCAGAACACGAUGAUUAUCUAGAUGUUUUCAUGAAGACCGUGAAGGAUGGGCGGUCGGCCAUCACAAGGGGUUGGACUAGAGUCGUGCGUGCCUUCUGCGUGGAGGAGGGCACAAUAUGGGCAUUCCGCUUCACCUUGUUCAGCAACCAGAAUGUAUUUUGCCUCUUUCUUUACCGUCUUUAAUAGUACAAGUAUACAAUUGUGAUUCGUCAUUCUUUAUUUGGUUUUUAUGUAAUUCUUGAUAUGUACCUAUGAAUCGAAUAAUGCAUCGGUUGUCUGAACCUGAUGGAUAUGAAUAAAGCUAUAACAUACAUUCAAAUUCAAAUUCAAAUUCAAAUUUAGUACAAUUUGAUAUAGCAGCAAUUAAAUUACGGUGAAAUUACGCUCUCCAGAUCGUUACGGCACACACGGUUGGUAAAACACAAACGUUUGCGAUAUACACCAUAAUCUGAGACGGUUCACAUAGAGGAAACGUGUGCAAGCGUGCACACAUUUGCUGUUUGCAAAGCGUGUGCGAUGUCAGACAAUAUCAAAAACGGUGCGGGCAAACUAAACGUUUGUGAUAGUUUCCUUAUCGUACAUGAUUCGCAACCAUGAACUGUUUCUGAUAAAGUAUGCAUCGUAAACGUUGCACCACAGAAUAGCGUGUGCGAUAGUUGUCGUGUAUGACGAUGUUACGACAAUCCGACGUUUCGUAAUCCUAUCCGACACUCGUACGACGAUUAGCUAAUCUUCUUAAUUAGUUAUCGCAUACGGUUUGGGAAAAGCAAAUGUGUGUGAUUGUAUGCUUAUCAUACACGUUCUAUAAUAGUGAACCAUUUGUGAUGGGCCGCGCAUCGUAAACGUAGCACCACAGGAUACCGAUUGCGAUGGCAAUGCGAGCACAAAGGAGUAGGAGUAUUGUAUAUGCAUCUUGGCUCCCUAUCCCCGACGGUUUCUGGGCCGUGUGGGAAGGAACCCCCCUAUUGCCCACACUCACUUGGCGACAGUUUCAAAUGCCGCCACGGAAAGGGGUUAAAAACCGUUUGUAUAGCACCAAAGUGUACCAGUGUCAAGACCUCCCGAGAAGCGGCCACCUAAGGCUGCCUCCCGAGGAGCGGAUAUCUCUAGGCAGGCACCGCACCUCGCGAGGUGCGCGGUGACGUGAGCCAUGACGACCAAGGCCAGCAGGGCGCCAUCGGGCGCAGUCCAAGACAGUUUCCUCUUUGGUGCUAAGCAGGCAAUGACGUACGUGGGUUCCCAAGGAAUCCCUCAAAGAUUUUCGUUCUAGUGCAACAAGACCAAGACCGCGGGCUCGGCAGGAGGAGGUCGUCACCGAGCCCACCACUGCGUCACAACCAGAAGCUUUGCAGACGAAGACCACCUUUAGUCAGUAUAGGGUGUACUCCUGUGCCCCUUCACAUUAGCCGUUGUGGUAUCCCUUCCCGCCUAAGCCAUGAGGGAAAGACCAAGGCCACUAUAAAUAUAGGUUAGUCUCCACCAUGGAGAGGGGAUUGAAUCCUCCUGCCAUUGAGCUCUUCUAGGGCAGCUCACCCCCUGUACUAGUUCGUACUCAUCCUCCUCGCGAGGUAAUCCACCACAAAACAGGAGUAGGGUUUUACACUGCAAGGUGACCCGAACCUGGGUAAAUCACCGUGUCCACUUCUCCUUCCCGCUCGCCCGAACUCGUCGGUGUCAAGCCAUGGGCUGGUGAGCAGCGACCCGAGGCAAGGCAGGAUCCUUCAUUCACGCCCCAAAGUUCGAAACUUGUUUGGGUCCGCGGAGCCCCAAUUCCGACAACAGUCAUCCCCAAAAGAAGUGUCCCUGAAAAGAGCGAGUUGCGGAGAUCCGACAAAUCUCACUUGUUCAAAUGCAUCUAUCCAAUUUUCUAUGUUGCUCAGAUGUUUAGCGCUAAAUAUGUUUAAUGUGCAAUUAAUACUAUACCUAAUAUUAACUUUAGUGCUAACCACGUAAUUAUAUCCUACUUAAUACUACCCACAUGCAAUCAAUGUACUUCCUAAUAUUAACGUGCAAUGCAAUUAAUAUAUUUUGUAAUAUAAUGUGGUACGUAAUUAUAUUCUACCUAAUAUCAUCAUGCAAUCAAUAUCUUUCCUAAUAUUGAUGUGCAAUGAAAUUGAUAUCAUUUUUCUAAUAUAACGUGUAUUACAUGUACAUGGUUUUCUAGUUAUAGAAGGUUCUCAUGUGUAACCUAGCCACCAUACAAAGUACUUCUAACAGCGCAACACACAAACAUACUUCCUCCGUUUCAUAUUACUUGUCGCUGAUUUAGUACAAAGUUGUACUAAAUCAGCGACGAGUAAUAUGGAACGGAGGGAGUAGUACAUACGUAUACACGACGCUUCAUUUUGAACGCUGAAGCAUGUUGGCACGCAUUAGUGAGAAUCCUUCGGACAUAACCUGGACGGAAUAUUAAGAAAACUUAUUUCGUGGAAGAAGUGAAACUCGUCCAAAUCUCCUGUGUGAACCUUGCCGUCUUCAAAGUCAUGGUCAAAACUCAACAAAAACCAUGUUGUAACUCAGACCUUCCGCUACACUAGCGUACGUACAUGCAUUUGUAAAGAAACAGUCUCACCUAAUAAUCAUACAAGAAUUGGACUUGGACACACCUAACGAUAACUGAAAUAAAUCAAAAGAGGGCCGACGAAUGGUUAAUUAGCGACUUGAAAAAUGGCAGACGAAAACCAUCACCAUCAGCUAGCAACCGCGUCGCGUGCAGGGGCGUCGACCCGUGCGUUCCCCUCGCACAGCACAUUUGCACUGCAUAUAUUAUAAUGGUAUCCCAUCGUCGCAGCAGCUGCCUAUUCUUCGUCUUCUUCCUACUCCGCACGCACGAGGCCACCAACCCCACCUUCGUGCUCACCCGCGGCCAAGUCCAGCGGUCAACACUACCAUCCUGGUCACAGUCCACACUCCACACCAAAUCCCAAUCCCCACCCACCCUGCCUGCGCUACCUAUUUAAAUCCUCCCCUCCCCUCCAUUUCCAUCCAAGAAGAGCAUCCCUCACCUCUCCUACUUCAUCCAGCUCUUCUCUCUCACGGCUGCUCCAAAGAAUCGCCACAUAGAUAACCAUCCUCUAGUCUGUGCUCGAGCUCUUCUCUCUCACAACUGCUACAUCGAGACUUCAAGAUCCAUCGUUGAUCAAACCAAUGGCCGCCAACGGCAACGACGGUUUGUGCGUGGCCGAGCCGCGGAGGGCUGACCCUCUCAACUGGGGGAAAGCGGCGCAGGAGCUGUCAGGGAGCCAUCUGGACGCCGUCAAGCGGAUGGUGGAGGAGUACCGCAGGCCGGUGGUGGUUAUGGAGGGCGCAAGCUUGACCAUCGCCCAGGUCGCGGCGGUGGCCACCGCCGACGGGGCCAGGGUGGAGCUCGACGAGUCCGCCCGCGGCCGCGUCAAGGAGAGCAGCGACUGGGUCAUGACCAGCAUGGCCAACGGCACCGACAGCUACGGCGUCACCACCGGCUUCGGCGCCACCUCCCAUCGGAGGACCAAGGAGGGCGGCGCUCUGCAGAGGGAACUCAUCCGGUUCCUAAACGCCGGGGCGUUCGGCACCGGCAGCGACGGCCACGUGCUGCCCGCGGCCACCACGCGCGCGGCGAUGCUUGUCCGCGUCAACACACUGCUCCAAGGCUACUCCGGCAUCCGCUUCGAGAUCCUCGAGACCAUCGCCACGCUGCUCAAUGCAAACGUGACACCGUGCCUGCCGCUCCGGGGCACCAUCACCGCUUCCGGCGAUCUCGUCCCGCUCUCCUACAUCGCGGGACUUGUCACCGGCCGCCCGAAUGCCGUGGCCGUGGCUCCUGAUGGCACCAAGGUUAAUGCCGCCGAGGCAUUUAAGAUUGCGGGCAUCCAGCACGGCUUCUUUGAGCUGCAACCCAAGGAAGGCCUUGCUAUGGUUAAUGGCACGGCGGUGGGCUCCGGGCUCGCGUCCAUAGUUCUCUUUGAAGCGAAUGUUCUUGGUGUGCUUGCCGAAGUUUUGUCGGCGGUGUUCUGCGAAGUGAUGAACGGCAAGCCAGAGUACACUGACCACCUGACACACAAGUUGAAGCACCAUCCUGGACAGAUCGAGGCCGCGGCCAUCAUGGAGCACAUCCUGGAGGGCAGCUCAUACAUGAUGCUCGCGAAGAAGCUUGGUGAGCUCGACCCAUUGAUGAAGCCAAAGCAAGACAGAUAUGCUCUCCGCACAUCGCCACAAUGGCUUGGGCCACAAAUUGAGGUCAUCCGUGCAGCGACGAAGUCAAUCGAGCGCGAGAUCAACUCUGUCAAUGACAACCCACUCAUUGACGUAUCUCGUGGAAAGGCAAUCCACGGUGGAAACUUCCAGGGCACGCCCAUUGGUGUGUCCAUGGACAACACGAGGCUUGCCAUUGCUGCGAUUGGCAAGCUCAUGUUUGCCCAGUUCUCGGAGCUAGUAAACGACUUCUACAACAAUGGCUUGCCCUCCAACCUCUCUGGUGGCCGCAACCCAAGUCUUGACUAUGGCUUCAAGGGUGCCGAGAUCGCAAUGGCAUCAUACUGCUCGGAGCUCCAAUUCUUGGGCAACCCUGUGACCAACCAUGUCCAAAGUGCAGAGCAGCACAAUCAAGACGUGAACUCCCUCGGAUUAAUCUCAGCUCGUAAGACUGCCGAGGCCAUCGACAUUCUGAAGCUCAUGUCCUCUACAUUUUUGGUUGCGCUGUGCCAAGCCAUCGACUUGCGCCACCUCGAGGAGAAUGUCAAGAACGCCGUCAAGAAUUGUGUCACAAGAGUGGCCAGGAAGACCAUCACAAAUGACAUGGGUGGCCUCCACAACACGCGUUUUU
rnacentral:lncRNA from 1 species